rnacentral:rRNA from 1 species
UACGAAGGGGGCUAGCGUUGCUCGGAAUCACUGGGCGUAAAGCGCACGUAGGCGGACUCUUAAGUCGGUGGUGAAAUCCUGGAGCUCAACUCCAGAACUGCCUUCGAUACUGGGAGUCUCGAGUCCGAGAGAGGUGAGUGGAACUGCGAGUGUAGAGGUGAAAUUCGUAGAUAUUCGCAAGAACACCAGUGGCGAAGGCGGCUCACUGGCUCGGUACUGACGCUGAGGCACGAAAGCGUGGGGAGCAAACAGG